rnacentral:rRNA from 1 species
GAUGAACGCUGGCGGCGUGCCUAACACAUGCAAGUCGAGCGGAGAUUAGAGAACGUGGCUUGCCACAAAUUUAAUCUUAGCGGCGGACGGGUGAGUAACGCGUGGGUAACCUGCCUUGUACAGAGGGAUAACACCGGGAAACUGGUGCUAAUACCGCAUAAUAUUAUCGGAUAGCAUUAUCUGAUAAUCAAAGGAGAAAUCCGGUACAAGAUGGACCCGCGUCCGAUUAGCUAGUUGGAGAGGUAAUGGCUCACCAAGGCGACGAUCGGUAGCCGAACUGAGAGGUUGAUCGGCCACAUUGGGACUGAGACACGGCCCAGACUCCUACGGGAGGCAGCAGUGGGGAAUAUUGCGCAAUGGGGGAAACCCUGACGCAGCAACGCCGCGUGAAGGAUGAAGGCUUUCGGGUUGUAAACUUCUUUGAUUGGGGAAGAAAAAAA